rnacentral:tRNA from 1 species
AGCAGGGUGGCUUAGUGGAAAAAGCAUGGGCUUGAGAAGCAGAGGUCAUGGGUUCUAAUCCCAGCUCUGUCA